UGGGGGUCUCCAUAGACACAAGUGGGGUGGAAAAGGCAGGGGUCUCCAUAGACACAGGUGGAAUGGGGAUGGCAGGGGUCUCUAUAUAGGAGAUCUGCAGCAUAUAACAGCCCCGGCAGCGUGUCCCAUAUACCCCUAAAUACUAGUACUACAGCGCCUUCCAUAAGUAUUCACCCCCUUGGUCUUUUCUACAUUGUGUUCUGGUAUAUCCACUGAGUUACAUUUAUUUUAUUUGGAUUUUAUGUAUUGAACCAACACAGAAUAGUCCAUUAUAUAGAAGGGGGGAAUAUUACAUGUAUUUCACAUUUAUUGAGUGCAGAUGUGUUUACCCUUUACUGAGACACCUUACAAAAAUCCGGUGCCACGUAUCACCUUCACAAGUCAUAUGAUCAGUAAAUAGGCUCUAUCUGUCUGCUAUGUAAUCUCAGUACAAAAACCCCCGGUUCUGUGAAGGCCUCAGAGUUUGUUACAGAGCAUUACUGAACAAACAGCAGCAUGAAGACCAAGGAGCUCACCAAACAGGUCAGGGAUAAAGACAAGCUCACCAAACAUGUUAGGGAUAAAGAUGAAAGAGCUCACCAAACAGGUCAGGGAUAAAGACCAAGAAGCUAUCAAACCGGUUAGGGAUAAAGACCAAGGAGCUCACCAAACCGGUCAGGGAUAGACCAAGGAGCUCACCAAACCGGUCAAGGAUAAAGACCAAGGAGCUCACUAAACAGGUCAUGGGUAAAUUAUGUACAAAAUAUCUUUAAGCUCUAAACAUCUCACAGAGCCCUGUAAAAUCCAUCAUCAGGUAAUGGAAAAAAUAUACUGCAACAACAAACCUACCAGGACAAGGCUGUUCAACCAAACUGACAAAAUGGGCAAGGAGAACAUUAUCAUUGGAGCCACUAAGAGGCCCGGGGUGACUGAAGGAGCUGAAAAUCAGCAGCUGAGAUCCAUAUGGAAGAGUGAACAGAAGACGUGACCACAAGGAAUCCGGACAAUCCAUGUGGUCAAAACUGCGGGAAAGAUGGAGCCAAAACCAGGACAAUCCCUGAAGAACAUCUGAUGCCUGGGCCAAAGCUUCAUCAGUCAGGAGGACAAUUACCCUAAACACAGCACUAUAAUAGAACGGAUUAUUUCAAAGUAUUGUAUGUCCUAAAAUGUCAUAGUCCAGAGAAUCUAUAGAAGCCAUGAAGAUACCUGAUCAGACGUCUAUAGAAGCCAUGAAGACACCUGAUCACAGACUUCUAUAGAAGACAUGAAGACACCUGAUCACAGACUUCUAUAGAAGACAUGAAGACACCUGAUCACAGACUUCUAUAGAAGACAUGAAGACACCUGAUCAGACAUCUAUAGAAGCCA